CCAUGCUAUUCCCUGAAUAAAGGAGCACUCCUGCCAGACCUUGAGAGUCCAAGAAAUCUUUCUUUCCACUCCUUGGCUCACCAAGCCCGCAUCAGCCAGCUCUUGUCUUGGAGUGUCAGCUGAUAUUGAAAUGGAAAGAACCCAUGUUUAACAUUCUGUUUUGCACAAACAGAAUAAAGAGGCAGACAGCAUGCACAUCAGUCUUGUUAGAGGCAUCUUGAGGAGAGAGGAUGAGGAUGGGAGUCUGGAUAGGAGGAUCUUUAGGGUUCCUUCCAAUCAAAGAGAUUCCAUGGCAGGCUGGUAGGGAGUACAAGUAUUGGAGACACUCCUUGAUGAUGAUGUUGGGCAGACGAGACAGCCAUGAAGCGUGAUAGUAGUUGACUCUCGCAAAUGCUCUCGAUACUAACAAAUGCAUUACAAUAAGCGUGAAUAAUCAGGCGUUGAGUUGCUUGAAACCAGCUUUACAUCUCAGAGAACAGAGAAGAAUCAGCUCACUGUGGCCGUUUCUGAGAGGAAGCAGAUGUAAACUGAACCUGGUGUUCAGAAAGGGGAGACGCCUCGCUUCCCGCCUCCACAGGCUGUCCUCCCGGGCUCUGCACUUACUUGUCCCCCCAAAUGCCACCUUGCCAGGAAGUCAUUCCCCAUCCGUGUCGCUGGAGGUAAACCUGUCAUCUCUCAACCCUGUUGCAUUUUAUCUAAACUCCUGUUUUGCCCUGGCCCGUGGAGGGAAACACACACAUUGUCACAAUUAUUAUUUCCAAACCGCUGAGUCAAGCUGUUGGUUGAGUGGGGCUUAGAGCUGGGUUUCUGGGUUUCGACUACAGGGCUCUCUCCAGCUCCUCCUCUCUGUCCUCCCAGGCCUUUCCCAGGCACCAGGAGCCUGGAAAGCACUUUGCUGGAUAUUCAAUCCUGCUGGCAUUUGUGACAGGGGACGUGUGCCCAGAUCCAUCUUGCGUGUUUCCAACUCGGAGCCCCCUGGAAGGGAGGUGCUCCCCAGAGACGAGGAGAGCGGCCACAGAAAGCUGAACUCCCCGUGCUGGUCCUGCUGAGGGGGGCUGGUCCUCUCGUCCCGGCCAACCUCCCUUCUGCGUGUCUUUAAUGAGCAUUUGGCUUGCAUUUGGAUCAGACCAGGGCUUGGGUGACGGGCAUGGAGAUGAACUCCUGAGUUAGCUCUCUAAGAGGAAAGUAAAGGCCUGGCCAUGGGCUUGAUGGGAGUCUCACUUCUCUGCCAACAUUAUGUAGAGAAAAGGGCAGUUGUGCUGAAUUACUGCAUUUUUAUGUAGCGUCUGUUCAAAUCCUCUUAUUUUACAAGAUGGAAACCAAGUCUCGGACAGUGGCAAUGAUGCCCAGGUUCAUGCAUCUGGUUUAGCAGUCGGUGUGGCCACCACUUGGCCAUGCAGAGCCACCUCUGCCCAAGUGCCACCUCAUCGGGGGAGAGUGCCCCACCCGUCUAGGCUGAGAUAGAUGCUCUGCAUGUACUGAGGCCACUGCACUCAUCCUUUGACUGUGGGAGUCCUUCCCACUAGGCCGUAUGUCCCUGGAGGGUCAGGACCACAUACUUAUCAUCCCUGGGUCACCAGGAGAGGGCCCACAGGGAUCCCAUUGUGGGGUGGGGCGCUGGCAUCAGGACUGGCUUUUCCACAGGAAGUCAGACCAGCUCUGCCUGCUGAGGUCUCCUCUCCCCCUUCCCACAGUGAGCCUCGGAGGUGAGCAGUUUCUUCUGAGGGUGCCACCCCGCUCUCCCAGGAGGGCAGCCCUGCCACGGGGCAGCCGGGGUUUCUGACCAGUGUCCCAACGCAAAAGAAAACUGUCUAGAACACUGCUGUCCAGUCGAAAAGUCAUGUGAAAAAAGGAAAAAAAAACAACAGGUGAAAUUAAUUUCAAUAACAUUUUAAUUCAAGAUAUCCAAAAUAUCGUUUUUAUAUCUAAUCAAUAGAAACAAUUAUGAAUGAGACUGUUUGCAUUCUUUUUUGUACUAAGCGCUCAAAAUCCGAUACGUAUUUUAUAGUCACAGCACAUCUCAAUUGGAACUCUAAAUUUUCAUUGAAAAUUUUAAUUUGCAUUUCGAUUUUCUAAAACUUAAUUGAAAAAAAGAGAUCCACCUGCCCACGUUGUUCUAAACAUACUUAAAGUUUUCCAGUAGCUGAAUUAAGUAUCUUUUUAAAUUUAGAUUUAUUGAAAUAAACUAAAAAGUCCAGUUUCUCUUCACACUAGUCACUAGCACUUCUAGUGCUCAGUGGCCACACGAAGUUUCUAGAAGGUGGCUAGGAGCUAAGGGAAGAGGUGACUGAAUCAGGGAAGAAAGCCCCAAUGGCUCUAAGGGAAGGUGGCAGCCUCACUCAUCAUUUCUGUGUCCAAAUAGACAUUUCACUUAUUUUCCUGAAGACUUCAGGGCUGAGGGCAGCUGGCAGCCGUGGGGGGAGGCUGAGCCAGCUUCCAACACAGUCUGCAGUGGGAUUUCACUUUGCUCUGUUUUCAGCAGGACUGGGAAGUUUGGACAGCGCUGUCAUCGCUGGGGGGACACGGAGGAUUGAAAUUCUGGGGAGACCCUCCUGGGCCCAGGGACCCCUGAGAAUAAUUGGAGGCUGGGGAGGCCCCUGGAGCUGACGGAGGGAACAGCGGCUCCCCUACUGGAAGCCAGAGGAACAGCAGUCCUGCCUCGCUGGAGUCAGCAGACAGUCAGAGGGCCGAGGGAUGCCACCGUUCAAGAGCAGAAGGCAGGCCUAGGAGUCUGGUGGAGCGUGGUGGGCAGAGGCCAAAGAAAGCCUGGAUCCUUUUUGAGCUUCCAAGUCUCAGGACACAGAGGUCCCUGACUCUAGAAGCAUAGAAACGUUAGUACAGAAAGGGAUCUUCAAAAGUGAGGGUAAAAUUAUUUAAUACAGUUCUGUGGUUUCCAAACCCGCAACAAAAAUUAGUUGUUUUUCUCUAGACUGAUUCAGCCAACAAAUAUUUGUUAGGAGUCUGCAAUCAGCGUAUUCAGAAAUAUACAUUGGUUGGAGAUAUACAGCUAUAUCUGGGCACAUGUGAAAUAUACAUUUUAAAAAAAAUGAUGUUAUCAAAUCCCUUCAGUGGUCUUUUCUAAAAUAUUUAUAACCUGAAAGCAAUAAUGUACAUAGUAAAAAAUUCAAACUGAACCAAAAGUUAUACAAUGGAAAGUAAAAAUCCUCUCUUUCUCCCUUGAAUGUCUGUUUAAAAUGCUCAGAGAGCUUGGCGUAUAGUAGCUGUUCAAUAAACAUUAGUUUGCUACCAAUGAAUGUUGAAGGUGGACCAGAAAAAACAGCAACAAAAAGUGUUAUCAAAUGGAAAACCAACUGGGCAGUGCGUGAGGGAUGGGGUCAGGGGCCAGAGGUGUGACAGCCAGGUCCACCACUGUUGCUUUUGAAUUUGAGAGCUUUAAAGGUUAUUUAACCCAGACUCGACCAAAUGUUUAGAGAAGGUGUUCUGUGUCACUCUGGGAGCCUCUGUAAGCAGAGAACCCAAGGUCAUGAGGCAGACGGCGACAUUGCUUUUUGAAAUCUGUGGAGGGCAAGUCGGGUAUGAGAGCUGGUGUUGGGAGAGACAGACACAUCCUCAGAAAAGAGCUGGGUUCUCUCCUGGGCACGUGGUUGAGUGACCAAGGGCCAACACAGUGGAUGCUCAGGCUAUGGAGGGGGUUACACGGAACUAAAAGACAAUCUUUUAUCCUUAAGGAGUUUGCAUCCGGGGAAGACAGAAGGGUAAACCGCGAACGGAUAAUGUAAUGCGGAGCACCAUGCUAGCUGACGGGAGAUUUCCUUUAGGUCCAAAGGAGGAGCGAGCGAAGUACCGCCCCGAAGGCCAAAUCCAGCCCACCACCGGCGUUUGUAAAUAAAAUUGCAUUGGCCCAGGGCAUGCUCAUUUGUUCCUGUGGGGUCUGUGGCUGCUUUCGCCCCCUAAAGGCAGAGUUGAGUAGUUGCAAGAGAGACUGGCCCUCAGAAGCUAAAAUAUUUACUAGCUGGCACUUUAAAGAGAAAGUUUGCCAACCCCUGGUCUAAACGAAGGAACAGUUAUUUUCAAUAGAGAAGGCUUGUUGGAGUGGCUUCUGGGAAAAAGGCGAUGAAGAAAGCGGGUAAUUCUGGGCACAAGCAAUGGCCGCUCGCCUCCAGGACGGAGCAGCAGGCCAGCCUCAGAAAUUCAGCUCUUCCAGCGCCGCCUCACCUCUGAGUUAAAAGGAGUAGGAUCAAUUUUUCCACAUCUAGUAGAAGAGAGAGGAUGAAGGAACCGAGGCCUGUAAACGUUUUGAGAAUAAUAUGAGAAAAGCAGCCAUUCAUCAGAAGACAUUAUUUCUAUUUUACUAUUAAAUGGAUGCUAAUUUUCCUUCUUUGACUUUCUUUUUUUCUUCCCAGCCCUGGCUGCCAAUUUCCUUCUUCCUGUUGUUCUGCCUUGAAAAACAAAACAAAACAAAACAGAAAACCAGGCAUGCCGCCACAAACCACAAAAUGUGUUUACUUCAAGCAGUGCAUUUUCAUUCUUUUGCAAAUAGGUUCACAAGAUCCAAAUAGGUUCAAAUAGGUUUUACAAGGUCCAGAAUUCAAAAGGUUUCAAGGAUGUAAAAAGACAAGCCUCCCUGUUCUUCCUCCUGGAGACAGCCGAGGGUGCCUGUUUCUUGCCCUCUAGAGCCUGCCUGAGAUACUUUGGGCAGGUACAAAUAUUUACAGAUACAUUAUUUUCCCUUCCUUUUAACACAAAUGAUUAUCUCCUAUAGAUACCGUUUUGCCCUUUGCUUUUUUCCCCUUAGGAAUGCCUUUUGGAAAGGGUUUCACAUCAAUACAUACAGAACUUCCCCAUUCUCUUUUACUGCUGUCUAGGGUCCCAUCACGUAGAUGUACCAUAUUAUGUUUAAGGGUUUUAGUGGUAAAUAGGGCUGUUGCUCUCCCCUCUUUCCUGCCGGCAAUGAUCCCUGGGUAGCGUUGCUGGCUUCAGGGGAGGGGUCAAUAACAGCAGCUAGGUAGAAGCUCAUGAUGCUGCUGGCUUUAAAGACCGCCCUUCCUUAGUCCUCUGGAGGUGAGGAGAGGGGGAGAGGGGAGCUGGAGUCCAGCAGGUGCUUGGCUGAGUCCUUCUGCCUGUUUGGCUGCCCCUGGGAUUAACCCUGUGGCUGGGAUUACCCUUCCUCAGGCUGCUGUGGGAAGAGCACCUGUUAUAACCGGAAACUGAAGGUAAGAUUAUUCUGAUGCAGUUGGAGCAGGGAAGUCGGAUCAGGUGGUGGUGCUGGCGUUUGGCAGGUGUAUUAGCCAUGGCUUCUUAAUUGACAGUUAUAAACACCUACCUCCAACCAGCUUAAGCCAAAAGGAAGGUUUGCGGACUUCUAGAGGCAAACAAGGCAAUUCAGGAGUUGUGGCAGACGUUACCAGUUGUUUACCCAAUGUGCGUUCCCUCCAUCUUCUCCAUGUGCACAGUUAAGAAGACUCAGCUCUCCAGACUCCCUGGAGAUAGGAGUGGCCUCACGGCCCUUUUCUGAACACUGAGGUGUAAGCAGAAGUGUACGGUGUGGGACUACUGGGAAUCCUGACCAAAGGGGACACACUUAGCUGGCUCAUGUUUUUCGUCCUUCUUGUCUGGAACGUGGGUAAGAUGCCCAGAGAGGCAGCAGUCAUCUUGGGAGAUGAGAAGGAGAGGCAGCUGACGAGGGUGCUGGGAUGAAAAGGGAGGAGGAGCCUGGGGCUUUGCUGUUGUCAUGAAGCCAGCAGACCAGAUCUCGCCUGUGGCCUGAGAAAAAUAAACUCCUACUUGGGUUAUUCUCUCAGAACCCUUGAUGGGGCAAGGGGCAGGGUACCAGCACCUCUGGAAUCCACGCUGAUAGCUUCCCACCAGGGGAAAGAGGGAGCUGUACCUCUGACUCCAAAUGGGAGGAAAAAGAACCUCCAAGGAAGAAUCUGAUUGGUGUGGCUUGGAGGGUACUCCUUGACCCAAUUACCAUGGACAAAAGGAUGAGGUGGAGAGGAUGGUUUCCCUGACUGGUGCCAACUGGGAGUCCUUCUGCGUAUGAGUCCACCUGAGCAGCUCUUGCCUGCCCUCUCCUGGGCACUGGUGGAUACAGCUAGCUGCUCUUCGGGAGCUGGAUAUAAACUGGUCACAGCCCGGCCUCACGAUAUGAAUUUGUCUUCUUAUAUCUGCCCCCCAAUCUC